UACCUUUUCCUAAUAGGAUUAGUACUAAGAUUUAGUCCUGGUGUAUCCUUGUCCGGCAGAGAUUACAAUCUCCUAAUCCUUGCAGGAGAAAAAUAGAUUUUUAAUUAGUACCUUAUAUACAUGUCCACUGAUCGAUCGCAGCAGUGGCUCAAUCAUGGAUGAGCCGUAUGAUUCCAGGAUUUUCAAUUGGUGUGAAGUGAAGCAAACAGAAUUACACGAGGGACCCUAUCCGCCACCAUCACAGCGCUACGCCGUGCUCAUCAGAUUAACAGUCAUCUUGCAAUCUGGGGGUUUUCAGAUACAGACGAAACCACCUCAUUCUUUUAUGUACAACUUUUGUCCAGACGUAACUCUCAUAGGGAAAUCAAAGAUUUGGGUCAACUUCAUGUCCGCAGAUGAACGAGGUAAGAGCAUCAUGUACUUGGUGACUGCCCUUCGUCGCAUGGGCCUUCGGUUAAAAGAACUGGCAGAUAUAGUCAAAGAAAUAUCUGACAAAGUUGAACCGCCCAUCCACCUCCCGCAGUUGGCUGUUGAUGUGACCGUAAGGCUUAUCUGUUGUGAACUGCAUGGAAGUUUUGACGGUUACGAUGAUAUGCGCUUGUAUCGCUGGGUGAAGAAAUCAUGGGACGACUCUAGGGCUGCUGCUCCUACCUCUUGCGCUAUGCCUCCAUCAUCAUGUGCUGUUUGUUUGGAGGAGUUUGGAGGUGGUGUUGAUGAUAAAAUGAUUGCUCGUUUGCCUUGCUCGCAUUUUUUUCAUGCUGAUUGCAUUGCACAGUGGGUGGUGGAUCGUCACACGUGUCCAGUGUGCCGAACCCAAAUGAUACCACUUCUGUGUGAUGAUGAAAAUCAACCCUUCGAUCCAAACCCUACCUGGUCCGAGUGACUCGAUAAAUUAUUCGUGUCUUUGUAGUCAAUAAUAUACCAGUCUUUUGUGUUGUUGUUGGCAUAUUGUAAUAUGCUCAAUAUUGCCUUUACUCUUGUAACAUUACUAGGCUAGUGUACUUUUUAUUUAUCUUUUCAUUUGGAAAUACCGUUCAACAUUUUCAUCUCGGUGUAUUACUUUUGAUUUUGUAUUAAUUAAAGAUAUACACACACAUGACCCUUCUAGUGAGGGGUCCCUAUUUUGGACUAUUUGUAAGGAGAGGUCUUUUAGAGAAGUUGGUGUAAUUUCUUAUCCCUAGAAAUAGUCUAAAAUAGGGAUUUCUCACUAAAAGGGGAUGUAUAUUUAGAUGGUAUGGUAUGAACCAUUUUUUAUUUUUGAAAACAAGGUUUAAAACUUUAAAUGUUAACCACCAGGGAUUGUGGGACAGUAGAAUGGUUAGUUUGGAACUCCCCAGAGUUCGAAACUCUAUGAGGCCUUGGUGGCCAGCUGGUGGUGAGGCUAUGUACCUAUUCAUGUUCCUGCCCUAUAUAUGGCAGUGCAGUGAAAUAGUCUGACAAUUGCUAGGAUACCUUGCAUGGGUGUGUGUUACCAAUUUAACUAAGACUAACCUCUCUAAUCCAAAAAUAAUAAUAUAAUUUCAAUGUUUUUUUAGAGUAUCAACGACGGUAUACUUAAAGGUUUUUCAGACCCAGAGACUAAUUCACGCCGAUAGAUCAUGUCAGAACGCUUCCUCUCCUUGGUCACCAAAAAUAAAUUGGGAUUUAACUUUAAUUAACGUCAGCUAGGAUUCGAACAUGGGUAUGGGGGUUCCACACAUAUGCUCUUACCAACUCGAUCACUUGUGGUGGUUAAAAUAAAAUAAAAAAAUUAAAUGUUGGACAUAAACCUUAGGCCAUCUCCAACCAAAAGUGCUAAAAAUAGCACAUGUGCUCAAUUUUAGCACAUAUAUUUGGCACUUUAAUCAAAUACCACUCAACGUCUUCACCCGAUUAGUGCUAAAUUGUAGCAUUUUAAUAUAUUUAUUGUUUUUCAUAUAUUAUUGACAUUUUUUCUUAUUUAAUUAUAAAGAAACAUUCGUCAGGAUAAUAUAUACUUGUGCGUAUGGACUCUCUUAUUUACAAACUUUUACUAAUGCAAAUUAUAAUCUUAAUCGUUCAAAAGUUGAUUAACUAUUAAAGAUCACCUUCUGAACAAAAAAAAAAAAAAAUACAAUGUUAACAAAAUUUGUUUGCUUAGCUGAUUGCAUUAAACAAAUGGACGAUUAAUCAUAAGACUAAGACUGUUAUUAUAAUCUUGCCAAGUCAAAAAGAGGAAUGAAUCUUAGCGUGAGAUUCCUCACGUGAGUAAUUUUUUUUUUAAGCAAAAAGUGUUGCACUUCUCACCCAACAAAUGGAAGGCUGCCACAUUACAUGUGCUAAAGAGUCAUUCGGUGAGUAUUUGGCUAUCGAGAUAACACUUUAGCUAUUGUUUAGCUCUUUGGCACUUUAGCUUAUUGGUUGAGAUGAGAGUACUCACUACUUUGGGUUAUGAUGGCAUUAUAUGCAGAGUGAUAUUUGGAAUGUUGGUGUCCCUUCCGGUGUUGAUCGGCUACUAUGCAGUUUUAGAAUUUGUGCAUUGAUCGAUCCUCCAUCUUCUUUUGACAUGCAUGGUCGACGUUUCAAUCAAUGAAUCGAGAGAGAAAAAAGAAAUGGCUGGCAGAGCCGUCUUAGAGAUUUUGAAGGCCCUGUGCAAAAUUUCAAAAGAGGCCCUGCUCAUAUAAAAAUUGAAGAUGAACAAACUCAAAACAUAAAAUCAAAGUUGGAUCAUUUAUCAAAUAAUAAUACCUCAUUAGUUGAACCUACAAAAGAGGCUAUAUAUUCAAUACAAAAACAAAAGUUUGAGGCAAAAAAUUAUGACAAACAUAUAUAUGCAUGAUCUAAAAGCAACACUGUUGCUGGGUGUUCACUUGAAUAUCAUUCUCCUUGCCUUCUUGGCUGCAAACUCAUCAAUUAGCUUAUCACAAUUGAUUUUUCCAAGAAAAUCAUUCUCAAUAGAAAUCAUAGAAAACCUGUUAGACCAGUGCUCCUUCUCCAAUUUUCAUAAAUUCCAGAAUGGCAGAAUCCAACAACUUUGCCACACGAUCAACCUUUGCAAAUUGAAAACAAAAUCAAACCAUUCAGAAGAUUAAAACAAAUAUCAAUUAAAUUGUACAUUUGUACAUAACAAUUAACAAAUCAAUUAUGAAGAAUCAUACCUGUGUGGGGCUGUGGGCGUGUCCACACUGUGGCUGAUGAGUGAGAUAAAAAUUGAGAGAGAGAGUUAGGUUAGUAGAGAAAGAGACAGAUCGCAAAAAGCCAAAGAAGAAGAUUUGGUUUGGGAGUUUUUGGUCGAUAGGGCCUCUUCUCAAUUAUAUGGGCCUUUUUUUCUAAUGGGUCUUUUUAUAUUAAGUAUAGUUCUUAAUUUUUAUAUAUAAUUAAAAAAUUAUGAAUAUGUGUAUUUUUGUGGCCCUCCUAAUUUUGGGGCCCUGUAUCUGUGCACACUUUGCACCUGUUAUAAGCCGGCUCUGAUGGCUGGUUCUCGAUUUCUUGUUUUACAUUUAUUUUUCUUUGAUUUUAUUUUGGUAUGAAGCUAUUGGUGGCCGGGACUAAUUUCAGUUAGUCUUUGUAGUUCCAAAUCCUUCUGUAAUCUAAUUAUCCUUACAAUCCUAAUCUCAAGAGAUCGAGUCGUUGGUUCUCCUCUGAUUUUAACAUCCGAUCCCGGCGGUUUAAUAUAUAUAUAGCAGCUGCAUGUACUUUAAUUUGUCAUGCGUCAAUGCAAAACUGAGACUUUCAGAACAGUUUCACGUCCGGUACUGUGCAUAAAGGGUGGUUCUGAACUUGUGCUGCAACAUGCACCAUGCACCCUCCCAUCCUCAUUAUAUAAUCACCAGAUCGAACAUUUUUAUAUAAACUUGACGAUCGAUAUUGUGAGAGACGCGUAUGCAGCGCAAUGUCCUAUACGUACGUGUACUAUAUACGACAAAAUUUCGAAGAAGAAGACACAACUGUAUUUAGAUACAGUUGCCCAGCGAUUGGAUCUUGAUGGAGCUUGGCCCUUGUUAUCAUUUUCUCUGGGUUCUGCUCACCUCCAAUACUCGCAGUUUGUUUGUUUGUGAUUUUAUAAGGCUAGCAGUUUACCACUGUCUACUGUUUCAACAUCUCCAGCUUAAUUUGCUUAUAAAUUGAGAGCAUGUACAACUUUUCUGUACAUUGUAACUAGUUGAAGUAUAUAUCUCAACAUUUGUUGAUAUCUUGGAGUUUGUAAUAUAGCAGAGGAAAGCAAUACAAGUAUGGAUGAAAAUGAAGCACCACCAUCAGAAAGCAAAGCACAAAAAGCAAGCAGAAGCUGCAGCAUCACUGAAAUACAGGAAGACUCGAAAGAGAAGACCAAAGGAAAUGAAACUGUUCCAUUUCACAAGCUGUUUUCAUUUGCAGAUUCAACUGAUAUCUUGUUGAUGACCAUAGGAUCAGUUGGUGCCAUUGGAAAUGGGUUGUGUAUGCCCAUUAUGACUAUACUCUUUGGCCAAUUGACUGAUUCUUUUGGAUGUAGCUACAAUAGCAAAGACAUAGUUCAUGCUGUUUCCAAGGUACCUGACUUGUAUAUUUAUUUCGCAAUCUUAAAAAAAAAGUGUUCUUUGAAGAUUUAUUCAUUAUUUUUUGGUAUGAUUUUAGGUCUCUCUAAGAUACAUCUACUUGGCUUUGGGGGCUGGGGUUGCAGCAUUCCUUCGUAAGUAAACAACGUACUUAAGAUUACCAAAGAGUAAAGACCAUGUAAGCAACACAUUAAACUUACUGAUGUGUCAUGUGUGUUUGUCUGUCAGAGGUAGCUUGCUGGAUAGCCACAGGGGAGCGACAGGCCGCACGAAUAAGGAGUUUGUACCUGAAAACCAUAUUAAGGCAAGAAGUAGCUUUCUUCGAUAUGGAAACAAACACUGGGGAGGUUGUUGGGAGGAUGUCUGGUGAUACUGUCUUGAUACAAGAUGCAAUGGGUGAAAAGGUACUGAACUACUGCAGAAAAAUUGGAGUACUUGUCAUCUUGGUUCACAUAAUGCUGGAUUCUAAAAGGUUAGCUUAUGCAGGUUGGAAAGUUUAUACAACUCAUAUCGACAUUCAUUGGAGGCAUUGUGAUAGCAUUCAUUAGAGGGUGGCUUCUAACACUCGUCUUGAUGUCCACUAUUCCACUUCUUGUGGCAGCCGGAGCAGUAAUGUCCAUUAUCAUAGUCAAAAUGUCUUCCAGAGGACAAAAUGCCUAUGCGAAAGCUGCGACUUUAGUUGAACAAACAAUCAGCUCAAUCAGAACUGUAUGUCAUGCUGAAAUCAUAAGUUUGAUACAUGUUUGUGAAAUAGUGGAAGCAUAUAACACCUCUUAACUUUGUCCCGCUCAGGUUGCUUCAUUUACCGGAGAGACACAAGCUAUAACCAACUAUAAGAGAUAUCUUGUAGAUGCUUACAAGUCUGGUGUUCAUGAAGGCUUGGCAGCCGGUUUAGGUUUUGGCAUGUUUAUGUUGGUUAUGUUAUCCAGUUAUGGUCUGGCUACAUGGUUUGGUGCAAAAAUGGUAUUGGAAAGAGGAUAUAGAGGGGGUGCUGUGGUCAAUGUGAUUGUCGCUGUGAUGGCUGGUUCCAUGUAAGCUUUCAUUUUGGCUUUUCAUUAAAUCUUAAGCUGAUUUUGUUCCAAGUGCUUGUAUAAUGAACAAAUUUUUACGGAUGUUGUAUGAUCGUCUCAGGUCUCUAGGCCAGGCAUCUCCCUUUGUGAGUGCAUUUGCUGCUGCUGCAGCCUUCGAUAAGCAUAUCAAAACUGACACUUUGAUAAGCAUCAAGGAUGGUUCUAUGCAUCCUUAGUUGCCUUGCACAAUACAUACCAGGACUAGUUGUCGCAGAAUAAAUACUGUAUUUCAUAGUAUGUGUUGAAUAAAAUUUUCCUUAACCUUCUCAAUACAACUUUACAAGAUAUAUAGCAGCAUCUAUGCUACUGUUACAAGUAAGAGUUAAAUGUAAUUGCAGCAAAUCAGCAAUAGGUAUUUACAACCAAGAUACAACAUAUCAAAACUGAUCCUAAAUUAUGGCAAUGCAUUAAUCUCUCUAACAACCCCUCCCCUCUCAAACUUGGCGGGCCUGCACGAAUAAGUUUGCUAGUAAGAAGCACAUGACGGUGCUUAUGGAGGGGUUCAGUGAGAAUAUCUGCCGGCUGAUCAAUUGAUGGGACAAAGUACGAUGGCUACCAAAUGCUACUUUCUCGCAAACAAAGUGGUAAUCAAGCUCAAUGUGUUUUGUGCGAGUAGGGAAGACAUAAUUGGAGGCCAUGUAUGUAGCAUUAAGAUUGUCACAAUACAGCAAGAUGAGAAAUUCAAUGUGUGCACCAAGUUCAUUGAGUAAGAAUGCUAACCAAGUUGUCUCAGCACUGGCAUGAGAGAGGGAGCGGUACUCAAACUCGGCGCUAGAACGGGCAAUGGUAGGUUGCUUUCUAAAACACCAAGAGACCAAGUUGGUGCCAAGAUAGACCAAGUAGCCAGAAGUUGGGCGACAAGAAUCAGGACAUCCUGCCCAAUCAGCAUCAUCAUAGGCAGAAACCCUCUCGGUUUCUGCAUACUGGAAAUCUGAGAGGGAUUGUUUUCUUCUUUUAAGAAGAGAGUGGCGGCGGAGGAGGAGGAAUGGCAAAAAAAAAAAUGCAUUUAGUCAAAGGCAAACCAACUUAAUUUGGAUAUCAACGCGUUAUUCCAUGGAACACAAUUAUCCAUCCCCUGUAGUACAGCUCCUUGACUAGGCGGGUCAUUUUAUUUUUCAUCCAAUGUUUGAAUGUAGUAUCAUAAUGUCAAAAAGAAAAGAAAACGGUCCUCAUUACAGCUUUAUCUAAUGGAUGAAAUUAUCUAAAAAGAUCUGAAGUUUCUUCAAGCUUUCUUCUGUUUGGUUGGAGGGGGAAAGAGAGCUCGAAAGACCCAAGAAGCCAAUAUUGCUCCUAUGAAAGGGCAAAUCCAAUAAACAUAGAACUGCUCCCAUGUGUUGUGUCGAUUGUCUACAUAUGCCCAACCAAAUGCCUGCAUUGAUCAUAUCACUAUGUAAAGGAAAACGCUCUACAGUAAGUAGACUAUUUCACAAGUAGAAGUAUAAAACAGACAAUUCCAUAUUAUUUUAUGAAAAAAAAAAAAAAACAAAUACAUACAAAGAAAGCGGAAGCAUAUCCAGGAAAAUAAGAAAAAUAACAUGAGCAAAAGAGAAUAUUGAAUACAAUUCAAUUCCAGCAAAAAGCUCAAGUGUUUUUAGCCCCUAAGAGUCGAACCAAUUUCUCCUUAUUCAUCAUUCCACCAUAAAUUGAGUCCUACAGAGGGAUCACAUUCUAUUACUAUUCAAUCAUGCAUAAUACACAAGAUAAAAACACACAUACAGGGCCAUUCCAUAAAUAUCAUUUUUAUGAGAUUUUCAUCGUAUCAAGACAUCAUGUUUAAGUCUCUAUGAGUAUAUCACUUCUGCAAAUACUGAAUUGGAUAUUUUUCUUUUUUUUUUAAAUUUCAUUGUCGUGUUUCAAAAUUUUUGAACGUGAUGAUUCUGAUUUAAUCUAGUUAGUACCGUAACAGUUCCAAAAAAGUUUGUUUGCAUGUAUUUCUCCUCCCCAAACCUAGGUUGUCUCUUUCUCUUCUAAGUUCUCACUGUCCCAAUUGGUGCUAAAUAUUAGGUCAAAAGAAAAUGUCCAGUCUUCCUACUAGAGAAUAACCAAAACAAUACACAAGUUUAUGCAUGUAUCAAAAAUGAGGGAAGCUCGACUAGCUUUGUGCUUCCCAAAUCUGAACUAAUCAAGUUUGUAGGCACAAGUAUUCUUCUAAAGAAAAAUAGCCAACAUCUAAUGAAAUCGCAAAGACACAUACAUAAAUGUGUUUUUCUCUGGAUGUAAGAAACAUUUUAUCCCAUGGAAAAAAUAAAAAAAAUUCAAGGGUUGCCAAUGGUAUUGGGAUGUAUAUCAUACUCUAAUUUUCAAUUAAAUGAACAAAAAUUACAAUAUAAUUGAACCAAAUUUACAACAUUGACAACAAAAUUACCACAUUUGUUUUACACGUUUACAUAUAAUUGAACCAAGUUACUAUAUAAGCAACAAUUUCAUCACAAACUUUUAAAAAUAUCAGACGUUGAGUAAUUACCCAUAAUAGAACUAUGAUUACCUAAAUUAUGACUCAACUUUACCGAAUUGGCAAUAAAUUUGUAGUCAUAUAAGUAAAUGUGGGUAUAACAUACAUGUAGCUAACUAAGAACAUUCCUACCUUUAAACUCAUCAGUUAAAAUAUUAACAGGAAAAAAACAACCUCAGACUUGGAAUAACUCAACCAAAUCAGACGUCGGGAUAUUUCACAACAGAAAAGAGUAACAAUUUAACUGAAGAAUUUUUUUUUAUUUCAGUACAAACACAUUAGUGACCAGAAAGAAAAAGUUUUAAGUUAGGGAAAAGUACCGCAUUACAGUAGACUCUGAGUAUUAUUAUUCUCCAUCACUAUUUAAAAUGUAGAAGUGACAAAAAAACAACAAAAUGCAGGGAUACUUUGAGGAGAAAUGAAUUGUCAGUGGAAGCAGAGCAGGGUCUAUAUCUUCUAUCUUAUUUUCCUACCAUCAUAUCUAAUAUUGGCUUAGCAUAAUUGUGUUCAUAACCCUGUUUUAAAGUCCAGAACGUAUCUUUUUCACCUUGUCCAGAUCUCCCAUAAAUCAUAUAUCGAAAACUAUCACACAAGCAGACUAACAAGCAAAAUAGCGAUGUCAAACAGAAAACAAAGAUAUUCCCAGAUUUGACACAAAAGUAGCCAAACCCAGUCUGUAUCAUGAUUCAAGUACUAUCAAUAGACAAAGGUCAUUUUAAUAAAGAAAAGAAGAAGGAAAUCGUUUGCUUACAUUAGCAGGAUUCAUUGAAGGCCCAGUAUAGACGGAACCAGCAACAACCAAUGCCACAGUAACCACUGCAAGAAGCAAUGAUUUCAAGAGUGAGCUACGGGGACCCUUGAGGAUGAUGACAAGGACAAGGAAGGUGAUAAGGAAAGUCAAGAGCCCCUCGGCAAUGGCCCCGGUGUGCAAGUCAACUUUCAAGGAAGGGCCUCCAAUCAUGUGGUUGUACUGAGCGGGAACGACCUCCUUAAUAGCCAGAGCGCCACCCACAGCACCCAAAGUCUGUUUGGAUCAUAAACAUGAUGAAAUGUCAAAGGAGAUUGAUAAGGAAGGAAGGAAGGAAAAAGGAAGGGGCACCUGAGCCGGAAAGCGGAGGGCCAUGGAGAAGAGGGUAUCGGCACCAACGCCGGCGGCGUAGAAAGAGGCAGUGCCGGUGGGGUUGAAGCUGGCCCCACCCAAGGCGUCACCGAUCAUGUUGAAGACCAAGACGAGGAAGAAGACGAGGGCAGUGGUGAUGCCGAAAGAAGCCCAGAAGCCUUGAACCCCGAUUACAUUUGCGAUCAGACUUGUCAUCAGUCCCAGCGUCGACGCGCAGAAGACCCACAUAAACGUCACCACCGCAUCUCCCACAGCAGCCUUCAUCGCGCCCAUCUCCCUCUCUCGAAUUCUCACUUGUCCUGAAAAUUCAAGAUUCAAGAUUCAAGAUUCAAGAUCACAAAGCACCCACCUUUAAUCUAAUCCCUUCAUGGUGGGCCAUCUGUCCAUUUACAAGUGUUCUUUAAUACAUCCAAUAGUGAAAGGUAAAUAGUAAUAUUUAUUUUAUACCACAGGGGGUAAAGUUCUUUUUACCUUCCGGUCGGACGACGAAACCGGUCCAGAUCUCGUGCUCUCCUCCUCAUGACCGUGCUUCACCUCGGUUCGAGCCCACGGCGGCAAAUCCAAGCGGCGAGUGCGGCGGCUCUCCUGGUUUUCCAGUUUCCGCUGAGAUUCGGCAAACCCAAACCGUCGAACUCAAGGCUGGGCUGCGGAGGCAAGAGGUCGUCGGAGCGCGCAGCGAAGCCGUUCUGGCGGCGGCGCUAGGAAGCUGGGCUGGCUUCGGGCUGCAUCGGUGGUGUAUGGUGCCGAUCUGGGUGCUGGCCUGUUGUUGUUGGAGGCGGCAGCAUGCAGUGGCACGCCGGGAGCCUGGGGCCAAUACGACAGCAAAUAUGAAAUCGGAAUUGGUCCUUAUUUCUUUAAACCCUCUUUAUACGGUGGAUUACAACGGUAAUUACACGCACAUAAGUUAUUUAAUGUUAAUAACAACAUACCUAAUGAAUUACAUAACUAAUUGAGUCGUUACGUCUAUUAAUUAAAAAUUUUUUAAUUUAUUUUUCAUCAAUUACUUUGACGAAGACACAUUUAAGGUAUUUUUUCCUCUUUGACAUGAGAAUAAUAUUAAGAGAGAAUACUAAUAAGAAUAUACAUAAUAAAUUACAUAACUAAUUAAAUCGUUAUAUUUAUUGAUUAAAAUUUUCUUAAUUUAUUUUUCAUCAAUUACUUUGAAUACACUUAAAAAAGUAUUUUUCCUCCUCAACGUGAGAGAAAGGUAGAUGUAAAUAUAGGAUCAGUGUGUCCCUCAAAAUCAAGACUCAAACCGACACCUCCUAGAUUAAACAAUCUGUUAUUAUCAUGAUGGUGAUAGGUGAGUGCGCAAGUGACGAAUCACGUCGUCGGUUGCAGCAUGAGAGGAUGAGAUUAUAAACAAGUAAACAGAUUUUUUUUUGUUUUUGGGAGAUUUUGUAUGAGAUAUUUUGUGACUAUGGGGUCUGCAUUAUUCACAACCCUCUAUAAUUCGUGUUCCCCCACGAACAUAUUCCACGUGUUAGAGAGAGUUGCUGCCUCCGGCCUCUUUCCCAUUUUGUUUCACGUUGUGGGAUGUUGCUUUGAUAAAUACUCGUCGUGUUUUCAGCAACAUAUUUCUGUGUGUUCCCGGAAAACGCGCCAAACAGGAACACAGGAGGAGGAGGAGGAGGACAAUCUAAGAGAUACAGAAAUCAUACAAAGAAUUAAAGCUCUGUUCUUUGUUUCUGGGUUCCUCUGUAUUUUCAUGGAACAUGAAGUCACCUUUUAAUCAUGUAAGUCUAUUUUCUUUCUUCUUUGUCUUUCUUCCAUGUUACAAAGUAUGCAAUUUAUGAGUGGAAAGUGAAAGCUUUCCAUGACAAAGAGAGACUUGGAAUUAUUCUUUGCUUCUUUGUGUAGUCUGGUUAUUAGACAUUGCAUUCCUAGUUGGAAGCUUCUAACACAAUCCAGAAUCCUUGUUGUUUUGCUAUUGUGGUGGAAAUGGCUUUUUGUUACUUGAGAUUGUAGCCUGCUUUUUUUGGGGUGAAGUUGCAUUUGUUACACAAACUUAAUUGAGUAAAUAAAUGAGUUUUUGGUGUUGUCAGAUAUCUCUGGGUGCAGGGCCAGGAAAUGGGAGAUCAUACUUCAUUAGGUUUCUCCCUUCAGCUUCUUUGAUAUUCUUAGCUCUUCUGCUGGGUAGCGCAUUCAUAUUAUCAGAAUUCAAUGAGGUAGACAUGUAUACAAUUCAUAUGUUCUUUGUGUUGGGGGUUAGAGAUUUUUUAACUCUAGUAUCUAAGCUUAAAUUUCAUCAAUUUUUACCAUCUCUUUGUCUAAUAUGGUUUUUUUAUUAAUUCAAUAUACUGUUGCACAGAAAUCAUCAUUUGGGAGAGUCAGAAAUAGUUUGCGUAGUUCCAAAUUAAAAUGCAAGGUUUGUUCUCGAUACGCAUGCCUUUUGCUUUGUAUAAUGUUUUCCAAGAAAACAAUCCACUGCUGUGAUAGACUGAUAGUCUGGGUUCACUACCUAUCAUUGUUUUUCUGUUUCAGAAUCAUAGAAGGCCAUAUGGAAGUGAAACAUUGCCUAGAGGUAUCGUCGCCAAGACUUCUAAUCUGGAAAUGCGGCCAUUAUGGACAUCGCCUAACAAGGUAAGGUUUCCAAUCAAUGUCUGCAUUUGUUUUUGUUAACUGAGAAUCAUAGUUAUUGAGUCUUGAACGUUUUCUAUCCUUGAAUGAAAGUAAACACACACACACACACACACACACACACACACACACACACACUAACACACUAUUAUGAAGAAAAUGAUGAAUUUGACUAUGAUUUUUAUGCUUGUCUCCUCCCAGCCGCCUUCAAGGUUACACCAGAAAAGUGCAAAUUCCUCGGUCAGCUUGUUAGCAAUGGCUGUUGGGAUAAAGCAGAUGGAUCUAGUCGGUAAAAUGGUCAAAAAGGUAUAAAGUAAGUCUGUAAUGCAUUCCACUAAUGCACUUCUCAGCCCCCAGAUAAAUGUUUAUGUUUUUUGAAUCACUACUGGGUAUUCAUAAAAGCAAUGGCUUCUUAUACACCCUUAUGCAGUUUCUGUCUAGUGGUUUUGUUGUGAUGCUUUUCCAUUAUGAUGGUAACCUUGAUGAGUGGAAGCAAUUUCAAUGGAAUGAUCUUGUUAUUCAUGUUUCGGCAGUCGAUCAAACAAAAUGGUACACAGGUCUUAUCGUCAUGCUUUAAUCAUUUUAUUUGCACUGGAAGUUGCACAUUUAGAUGAGUUUCCUGAGUGAUAUCUUUCUUGAUGCCUAGGUGGUUCGCAAAGCGUUUCUUGCAUCCUGAUAUAGUUGCUGAAUAUAGUUACAUUUUUCUAUGGGAUGAGGAUCUUGGAGUUGACAAUUUUAAUCCUCAACGGUACUGCAGCUGCAUUUCCUUUUAGCAAAGUUAGGAUACUUGCUUGCUUUUGAGCUAUACUGUGUAACUGUGUUGCUGAAACUUUAUAUUGUUCUUCUUCUAUGACACUUUUAGGUAUGUAUCCAUUAUUCGAAAGGAAGGGCUACAUAUAUCACAACCGGCACUUGAUUUUUCCAAGUCAGAGGUGCAUCAUCAAAUUACUGCACGCGUGAAAGGAUCAAUAGUUCACAGGUCUGUUAUAUAACUAGCUAUUACUAAUUCAUGACUACAGUCCUGUACUUCUGUUCAUUUCAAGCAGUAGGUGACUCUAGUUACAUGCUUUUGGGAAAUUGUUUCUGCAGAAGGACUUACAAGCCUAAUGCCAAUGGGACUGGUUGCGAUGAACAUAGUACAGCUCCUCCUUGUACUGGGUAGAAAUUUGUUUUAUUUGAACAAAGUCUUGCAUUUCCUGCAAAAGAAUGAUGGUUUUCUAGUCAUAGAAGUCAUCCUGCUGCUUCAGAAAACUAUAAUGAAAUGCUGCACUGCAGGUGGAUAGAAGUGAUGGCUCCAGUUUUCUCUCAAGCUGCCUGGCGUUGCGUAUGGUAUAUGAUCCAGGUGCGUUACUUUUACGAUUCUUGGAGCUCGAGAUAGCUCUUCUAAGGGUGACAAAGAUUGGACUUCUAUUCCCUUGGUUUAAACCAUCACCGAUCUUAAUUGUAUAUGCAGAAUAAUUUGAUCCAUGCUUGGGGACUAGAUAUGCAGCUUGGCUAUUGUGCACAGGCAAGCUCCUUAAUAUAUCUGUCAUUCAUAAUUUCUUCCACUAUCCAAGUAUUUUGUCUUGCGUCAUCUGUUUCCUAAACAAGGACCUUUUAUUUUCCAUUCUAAUAGGGUGAUCGAACGAAGAAUAUUGGUGUCGUAGAUGCGGAGUACCUAAUCCAUUAUGGCCGCCCUACUUUGGGAGGUCCAAACGAUAAUGAGGUGAAAAUUGUGUUAGCCUAGCUUUGUAUUAAGCUGUAAACUUUUAUCUGAGACUGACUUUGAUAUCUUUGUAUUGCAGAAAUCACCUCAAGCUAGUGCAAAGGACCACAGAGUUGAUGUUAGUCUCCAAACAUGAAUGAAUCUCAGGCCACUGUUUUACAUAAUGUGAUAUGUGUUUAGUUGGACUUAAUCUAAAUUUGUGCAGGUGAGGAGGGAAUCCUACAACGAAAUGAAGAUUUUCAAUCGAAAAUGGGAAAAAGCUGCAAAGAACGAUGAGUGUUGGAUUGAUCCAUACCCUGUUAACAGUAGCCAUCACUUAGCAGUGAGUUCAGAAAUUGGUGUAUAGUUUGUAGCAUCCGUUCAUACAUGCAUCAUACUAUUCAAAGUCCAAACAUACAAGUCUCUGAAUGUUCUUGUUCUUGUACUGUUGUACAGGGUGGAAAUGUAAAUUCUAUAGAUUUUAUAUGAGAGAGAAUCAGAAAGAAAUCAACUUCACUUAACUUGUAUACUAAUAGUCCGAUAUAUCUUGUAACAUCGCAUUCAGAUCUCUCUGCCUAGAGACGGACCCAUAGAAGCUACUGCUGUUAAAUUCCAUUCGUUAAUGUUUUGUUUCUUGUGCUUUACUCCAGAACCAUAGAAGCUACUGCUGUCAAAUUGCAUUCCUGAAUGUAAUUUUUUCUUGUGCUUUACUCUUCAUCAUUUCAAAUUACUUGAAGAGAAUUAGCAUUUUGUGGUGGUAAAAACUAAAAACUAAAAACAAAUAAACGUACCCCAAUUUUUGUAAUCUGUUCAGAACAGCUAUGCUCAUUUUCAUGUAAGUCCUGACAUGAAUCAUCUCUACCAAGCAAUGUUCCAUCCAAAACACAAACACUACCAAGAUUUAGACUUUCAUCUCUAACAUUGUACGGUAAUAAAGUACAUUAAUAGCAUCAAGGAUCUGAUAAACCAAAACCACGUAACAUUGCAACAUUGGCUCUACCUUUUCCUAAUAGGAUUAGUACUAAGAUCUAGUCCUGGUGUAUCCUUGUCUGGCAGAGAUUACUAUCUUCUAAUCCUUGCAGGAGAAAAGUAGAUUUUUAAUUAGUACCUUAUAUACAUGUCCAUUGAUCGAUCGCAGCAGUGGUUCAAUCAUGGAUGAGCCGUAUGAUUCCAGGAUUUUCAAUUGGUGUGAAGUGAAGCAAACAGAAUUACACGAGGGACCCUAUCCGCCACCAUCACAGCGCUACGCCGUGCUCAUCAGAAUAACACUCAUCUUGCAAUCUGGGGGUUUUCAGAUACAGACCAAACCACCGCAUUCUUUUAUGUACAACUUUUGUCCAGAGGUAACUCUCAUAGGGAAAUCAAAGAUUUGGGUCAACUUCAUGUCCGCAGAUGAACGAGGUAAGAGCAUCAUGUACUUGGUGACUGCCCUUCGUCGCAUGGGCCUUCGGUUAAAAGAACUGGCAGAUAUAGUCAAUGAAAUAUCUGACAAAGUUGAACCGCCCAUCCACCUCCCGCAGUUGGCUGUUGAUAUGACCAUAAGGCUUAUCUGUUGUGAACUGCAUGGAAGCUUUGACGGUUACGAUGAUAUGCGCUUGUAUCGCUGGGUGAAGAAAUCAUGGGACG
rnacentral:lncRNA from 1 species